GUCCACGCUGUAAACGAUGAGAGCUAGUUGUCGGCACGCAUGCGUGUCGGUGACGCAGCUAACGCAUUAAGCUCUCCGCCUGGGGAGUACGGCCGCAAGGUUAAACUCAAAGAAAUUGACGGGGCCGCACAAGCGGUGGAGCAUGUGGUUUAAUUUCGAAGCAACGCGAAGAACCUUACCCACCGUUGUACAUGUCCAGUUUGGUUCGGCAGAGAUGCCUUCCUUCACCUCGGUGGCUGGAACACAGGUGCUGCAUGGCUGUCGU
rnacentral:rRNA from 1 species